GAUGAACGCUGGCGGCGUGCCUAAUACAUGCAAGUCGAGCGAACAGACGAGGAGCUUGCUCCACUGACGUUAGCGGCGGACGGGUGAGUAACACGUGGAUAACCUACCUAUAAGACUGGGAUAACUUCGGGAAACCGGAGCUAAUACCGGAUAACAUGUUGAACCGCAUGGUUCAACAGUGAAAGACGGUUUUGCUGUCACUUAUAGAUGGAUCCGCGUCGCAUUAGCUAGUUGGUAAGGUAACGGCUUACCAAGGCAACGAUGCGUAGCCGACCUGAGAGGGUGAUCGGCCACACUGGAACUGAGACACGGUCCAGACUCCUACGGGAGGCAGCAGUAGGGAAUCUUCCGCAAUGGGCGAAAGCCUGACGGAGCAACGCCGCGUGAGUGAAGAAGGUCUUCGGAUCGUAAAACUCUGUUAUUAGGGAAGAACAAAUGUGUAAGUAACUAUGCACGUCUUGACGGUACCUAAUCAGAAAGCCACGGCUAACUACGUG
rnacentral:rRNA from 1 species